rnacentral:tRNA from 1 species
GUGCGGGCAGCGCGCCGGAAACGCGCGCAGGCUGUUCCGAAACCUCGAUCGACAGGAUGUCGAGCGUGCCGGUCGCGCCGGUGUCUGCGCCC